rnacentral:rRNA from 1 species
AACGGCAGCGGAUUUUACGAAAGUAAGAGGACGGCGAGUGGCGAACGGGUGAGUAACACGUAGGGAUCUACCCUUUAGCUGGGGAUAACGCGGGGAAACUCGUGCUAAUACCGAAUAGAGUCUAAGGAUAAAAGAUGGGGAGACCUGUCACUAGAGGAGGAACCUGCGUCCGAUUAGCUAGUUGGUAAGGUAAGGGCUUACCAAGGCGACGAUCGGUAGUUGUUCUGAGAGGAAGGACAGCCACACUGGGACUGAGAUACGGCCCAGACUCCUACGGGAGGCAGCAGUGGGGAAUAUUGGACAAUGGGGGGAACCCUGAUCCAGCGAUGCCGCGUGUGUGAAGAAUGCCUGAGGGUAGUAAAGCACUUUAGUUGGGGAAGAAAGCUGAUGGGGGAAAGACCAUGAGUAUGACGGUACCCAAAGAAUAAGCACCGGCUAACUCUGUGCCAGCAGCCGCGGUAAUACAGAGGGUGCGAGCGUUAAUCGGAAUAACUGGGCGUAAAGGGCGCGUAGGUGGUGAUAUGAGUAAUGUGUGAAAGGCCUGGGCUUAACCUGGGAAUUGCAGAUUAGACAAUAACACUAGAGACCGAUAGAGGGUAGGGGAAUUUCCGGUGUAGCGGUGAAAUGCGUAGAAAUCGGAAGGAAUACCGGUGGCGAAGGCGCCUACCUGGGUCGGAGCUGACACUGAGGCGCGAAGGCGUGGGAAGCGAACAGGAUUAGAUACCCUGGUAGUCCACGCAGUAAACGAUGAAUACAAGCUGAGGGUACGAGAAAGUAUCCGUAGCGAAGCGAACGCGAAAAGUAUUCCGCCUGGGGAGUACGGUCGCAAGAUUAAAACUCAAAGGAAUUGACGGGGGCCUACA